rnacentral:rRNA from 1 species
AUUGAACGCUGGCGGCAGGCCUAACACAUGCAAGUCGAGCGGAGCGGCGGACGGGUGAGUAAUGCCUAGGAAUCUGCCUGGUAGUGGGGGAUAACGUCCGGAAACGGGCGCUAAUACCGCAUCCUAUCAGAUGAGCGUCGGUCGGAUUCGCUAGUUGGUGGGUUAAAGGCCUACCAAGGCGACGAUCCGUAACUGGUCUGAGAGGAUGAGCAGUCACACUGGAACUGAGACACUGUCCAGACUCAUACGGUAGGCAGCAUUGGUGAAUAUUGGACAAUGGGCGAAAGCCUGAUCACGCCAUGCCGCGUGUGUGAAGAAGGUCGUCGGAUUGUAAAGCACUUUAAGUUGGGAGGCGUUACCAACAGAAUAAGCACCGGCUAACUUCGUGCCAGCAGCCGCGGUAAUAC